UAACAUUUUCAAUUAACAGGCCGUCCCCAUACCCCGUCCGGUAUGAGCGUCAAAAUACCAUCCAUCAAUACCCCGUUCAGUAUAAGGGUGAAACGGGCCGUCCCCAAAACCCUGUCCGGUAUGAGUGCCAAAUUACCAAUCCUCGUUAACCCAUCUGAUAUGAGGCAAUGUUCACGGUAGGGUUCUCUAUGUACCCGAUCUAACCACCAUCUCCUAGGAUAUCCAGUAAGGCUGUCGUUCAUCCAUCCACUUAAUCAAACAAUUUCACGUUUACCUUUAAUUUUUCAGUUUCCCAAUUUAAUUAUAA
rnacentral:lncRNA from 1 species